CUUUCAUAACAGUCAGUGUGAAUGAUGUAUUUUGGGUUGGUGAUGUUUUUAACCGGAUUUUUGGUUUUUCACAUAUAAGUUUUUUAGUUUUUGUGUUAAUUUAUUGAUUUGAGGUUGCUAUAAUCCAUGAGAAUAGUGUGUGGUGUUCGAUAGUGUUAUUUUGUCCAAAAAAAUGAUUCUUCAUUUUUUUCGCCACCUACAGUUUCUACACCUAGGCUAUAAUAAUUAAUAUUUUGUGCAUUCAAAUAUUAUUUGAUCCUCGGAAUCGUGAAGUUCUCGAGCAAUUAAGAAGGCAGUCAAUCGAUUUACAUCCAAUUCAAUUGGCUACCAGUAAAGUUGGUAAAUGAUGUAUAUGAACUUUUGAGCCUACUACAUUCUACAUCCGUGUAUUUAAAUAUUCUAUGAAUGUGAAACUGUGAAGUUCUCGAUGAAUGGAAAAGCAGUCAAUAGAUUCACAACCAAUUUGAUUGGCUACCAAAAUAAAGUUGGUAAAAAUGAGAACAGAUAAAGAACUUGUACGUCAUAUCUCACAAACUGACAACAUUCUACAGCCGUUGAUAUUUUCAAUUUCUAUCAUGGAUAUGUCGCUGGCUACCGCUGGCCUUGAUUGGGCACGCAGUGUGGACGCAGCCAUGGACCAACGCAGCCAAGCUUACCAGGCUGGGCCAGCGACUCGACCAAUAUGUGGAAGCAGGACUGAAAUUUUUAAACAGGUAUGAUGAUUAUGAUUUUUGAAGGGGCGGAUUCAAGGAUCCA